UCUUUUACCAGGUCAGUCCAGCCCCGUCCAUACACUGGCUCUUCAUCCCCCUGACAAAAAAAAUAAAAGCGAGUAUGUGCUACCGAGGCGACCAGGUUGGCGCUUUUGUCCUUGCCGCGUUAACCAUACCAUGAUAUAUUUUAUUUGCGCAGCGGCAAAAAUAAAUAUUUGCCAGAUGCAAAAGUGCCAAACAUCAAUUUAAGUUCUCAGGCAAACAAACAAAUUUAUUUUUACCAAAAGAAAUAAGCCGUCAUUUAUUGAAGCCAUGUGCAGAUAACCUUCAAGCGCUGCAAAAAAUAUAUUGCAAAAAUCUUCUUAAAAGUUACAGAAGUUUUAUGGAUUUUUUGUAUUUUUUUUUUUUUUUUUUAAAUAAAUUUUUAGUACAUCAAUUGGAGCUAAAUCAAUUUAUAUUUAAGGCAACGCUUAUGUGUGCAAUGAAAUAUCAAAUCCCUUUAUAUAAUAAUCUAUUUAUUUGAAUUAUUUCACUUCUGCAAUAGAUGGGAAACGAAGUGUUUGUAGCUCUUAUUGAAGCCAAAUAUAAGUGGGCACAAAAUGGUUGUAGGAUAAGUUAUUAUGCAGAGAAAGCUACUUAUAAUAAAAGCCUACAAGCCAGUGAGCAGAAUGACCAUUAAAUAAUUCACAUUUCAGACUAAAGAGAUAUUUAAACAUUUAAUCAUGCACAUGUUAUAAGCAUUUAAAGCAACUUUUAUACAGAAGUCAAUUAAGCCCUGACCAAACAAGUAUAUACAGACAGUAGAGAAGGGCCCCCUUCACAGGUCACUCGUAACUAGCACCUGCAUUUAUAUUAAUAAUGAUCCAAGUUGAACGGACUGCACAACAGAAGGCACAAUCAUAAUGUACUAAAAUCUCUCAUCUCACACUUGCACAAUGGUGGCAAAACACAGAAAAAAAAAAUAAAAUAAAAAAAUAAAAAUAAAAAAAUAAAAAUAAAAAUAAAAAAAAACAACAAAAUUAAUGAGCACUUCAACUCAACUAGAAGUUCGAGGCGAUAAGAGUGGGCGGCAAUGAGAAUUGGGAAAUGGAAAAUGUGAACUGGGAACUGGGAACUGGCUGCAAAUUCAGCUAGAAGCAUAAUGAAAAAUGCAGCUGCGCUUUUGCGUUGUUUUUUUGCCUCUGCUUUAGCUUUAGCUUUAGCGAACAUUAAAAAUAGUUGAAUAAACUUUUUGCUGAGAUAUUUGCAUAGUUUUGCACUGUGCAUUUUUUAGCGUGGCAUCGCGAUGGGCGAACGCCACCGGCGAUUGGGCUAAUGACACUCGAUUAUUUACGAUCCACUAAGCAAUUCAUGUUUAAUCGUAAUCACUCGACAAACAUAAGCCGAUAAGCGAGCAGAUGAACCACCUAAGUGCUGCUUCUCAUUCCGGGGCACUUGACUUUCAGAUUCAGAUUCCAAUUCACCUGGAACAAAGCGGCGUCGAAAUGGUGCUGUUGCCAAUGGCUGCAGCCAUUGGAUGAAAGUCGUUAAACGAGUUCUUAAUGCCUCGCUCAGACAGUUCAAUUCGACGGUAUUCAGAUUCUAGCUGCCAGUGCACACAAAGCCCUAUGCAUUCCUUGUAAUUCUUUGGUAAUUUGCGUCAGCCUUUUAUCCAUUUCCAGCAUUUUUGCAGCUAUGCUAGAAUACUUUUUACUACACUCGAGACUGGCAUUAUUCCUUUGCUACGAAAUGCGUAACAUUGCGGACAAGAUACAAAAAGCAAUCGCAAUAAGUGUUUAUAUUCUUGACCAGAUUCAAGUUGCUGGAGUCGCAGGCAUCUGUUUCUUAACUUCAAAUAUAUCCUUUUAUUUUGAAGAAGAUGGGCUGCAUAUUUUCACAGGCAGAAAAUAGUAAAUUGUAAUUCCAUCAUAUAUGAUAUAUAUGCAUAUGGAAAACGAACUUGAAUGUAGCUUGAAAAUGUUAAUUUGCCUUUGAAUCAGCUGUCAAUUUUAUAAAAUAUUUAUGUGACUAUGGAUCGGAUCAAUAUCAUUCUUGCAUAUCAUACUAGUCUGUAAAUUAUAUUGGAUCUUAAGUUACGACAUGAGAGGGUAUUUACGCUUCGCAUUAAAAAAGGGAGUUGUUCAAUUCCAUUUUUGUUUUUGUGCCGGCUUUUUUUAUUUUUUUUUUUUUUUUUUUUUUGACAAGUGACGCAGAUGUUAUCUUGUUAAAAAGCACACAAACACACCAAAGAAGUGAAGCAAACAGGAGAGAGACAAAAGAGGAGCGCCGCAUUCAAAUUAGAAAAGGGAAAUGCACAGCGGGUUGAAAAAGGGCAACUUGUACUUGGUCCGCAUAGCUGAGUACACUGAAGCUAGCUGGCACAUGGUGGCCUACAGCGGGGGCUUGGCUGAGCGACAAGUAAUAAAACUGCAAAGUACGAGUGGAAAACGUUGAAAAAUUACGGCCUGGUUAUGUGAGUGGGAGCAAAAGCUACAGCAUGCCCCCAGGCUUGAAGCGCAUGCCCAUACCCAUGCUCAUGCCCAUGCCCAUGCCAAAACGAAGCUCGAGGCAAGCAAUGCACAGCACGGCAAGCCCAGCUGGCGCAUGGGCCAUGGGCAGGAAGGCAGCCGGAGAGGCGCGUGCCAGACGGCACAUUGUGGUCAUAAAAAUAUGGCAAUUUUCAACUUUUCUCACGUCUCUCCAUAAUAAAACGUGCACUCGCACUCUUAAGAGGAGCAAGGAAUCACAGUACCCAAUACGAGACCCGUGCACGUAUCAUGUGGGAGUCAGAUCCGCAAGGCCGGGGCAAUGCAGCAAAUGCCAGAGGCCCAGGCCUGUAAACAGGCUAUGCAAAUAUUUACCAAAUUUAUUAAAGUUCAUCUCGGACCGAGCUUUCACCACA